CAGAUAUGAGUGAUGUAGCUUGAUAUGAUUUACAUUUGAGUGAGUGGCGAACUGGUGAGUAACACGUGGGAAACCUGCCCAGAAGCGGGGGAUAACACCUGGAAACAGAUGCUAAUACCGCAUAACAACUUGGACCGCAUGGUCCGAGCUUGAAAGAUGGCUUCGGCUAUCACUUUUGGAUGGUCCCGCGGCGUAUUAGCUAGAUGGUGGGGUAACGGCUCACCAUGGCAAUGAUACGUAGCCGACCUGAGAGGGUAAUCGGCCACAUUGGGACUGAGACACGGCCCAAACUCCUACGGGAGGCAGCAGUAGGGAAUCUUCCACAAUGGACGAAAGUCUGAUGGAGCAACGCCGCGUGAGUGAAGAAGGGUUUCGGCUCGUAAAACUCUGUUGUUAAAGAAGAACAUAUCUGAGAGUAACUGUUCAGGUAUUGACGGUAUUUAACCAGAAAGCCACGGCUAACUACGUGCCAGCAGCCGCGGUAAUACGUAGGUGGCAAGCGUUGUCCGGAUUUAUUGGGCGUAAAGCGAGCGCAGGCGGUUUUUUAAGUCUGAUGUGAAAGCCUUCGGCUCAACCGAAGAAGUGCAUCGGAAACUGGGAAACUUGAGUGCAGAAGAGGACAGUGGAACUCCAUGUGUAGCGGGAAGGCGCUUAAAUAAAA
rnacentral:rRNA from 1 species